rnacentral:lncRNA from 1 species
CUCUUUUCCGCAGUGGUUACUUCCUCGUCAAGCCGGGUAGAAUCAGCCGCAGAGCACCAGGACUGCCGAAGUGGCGAGAGGAUUCGGACAGCAAGGCGGUGGUGGUUAUGGCGGAGGCGAAGGAGCGGAAUGCCCCGCAGGAGUAGAGGUGCGGCCAUUGCGUUUCGAGUGCUCCAGUGUUAAGAAUGAGAGGUGCAGCCAGUAUGGUUGGUUGUGCGGGUUUAUGGCUGGGUCGGUAUUGCUACCGAGCUCCUAAAAAAGGUAUUACAGGCAUGUAAUUGAUGAUCCCAAAAUUUCAUUCAUUCUGUUGUGAGUUUAAAAUAUUAAUAGCGAGAAUUUUUCACCCCAGUUUCUCUCCACAGACACUUGCUAUCCCUCUGGUUUGUCAUUUCUUACCAUUUCUGCUUUCAAUGGCUAAAAUGCCUGCUUAUCAUUUCUUUCUUACAUUUCUGUGGCUAUGAAGAGAAUGGACUAAUGACAUAAUUGAUUGAUUACAAUAAUAACUAGCAAAAAUAUCCAAUUCUCUAGUAAUGUUAAGCAUUUGGCAGGCUUAAGUAAACAAGUUAAAGAUAAAUUAUCAACUCUACAAAGUGGCUAGAACGGUAAGUUGCUCAAUUAGAGAGAACAUGACAACUAUAUUUUCAUAGACCUUGAACUGGCAUAAGACCACUGAGAAAAUGACUAUCAAACUGAAGGACCUCUAAGCAUUCAACUCAGCAGAAAACACACAAGUACUUGAAACUAAGCAGGGAAAUCUGAAACAUGCGAAUGGAAUAUUUUCACCGCCAUUGAAAUUUUGGUUAUAAACUGAAUCGCAGUGUAGAGUGUAGAUACCUGUCAGAGUGAAGAAUUUCUUUGGUGAGACAAGUAAUGGGCUCUAUAUCUCUCAGAAUCUCAUCCUCCUUAUCUUUCCACUUCCUGUAAUCAGGAUCAUCCCAUAUUGGAUAGUUGGACGGAUCCCGCGCGCUCAACACUGCAGUGCUCUUUUCCGCAGUGGUUACUUCCUCGUCAAGCCGGGUAGAAUCAGCCGCAGAGCACCAGGACUGCCGAAGUGGCGAGAGGAUUCGGACAGCAAGGCGGUGGUGGUUAUGGCGGAGGCGAAGGAGCGGAAUGCCCCGCAGGAGUAGAGGUGCGGCCAUUGCGUUUCGAGUGCUCCAGUGUUAAGAAUGAGAGGUGCAGCCAGUAUGGUUGGUUGUGCGGGUUUAUGGCUGGGUCGGUAUUGCGAGUUAGUUUGCCUUUAGGCCCACUUCAUCAGCUGUGGGUUUGAG